ACGCUCGACACCUACGGGAGGCAGCAGUCGGGAAUAUUGCGCAAUGGAGGAAACUCUGACGCAGUGACGCCGCGUAUAGGAAGAAGGUUUUCGGAUUGUAAACUAUUGUCGUUAGGGAAGAGAAAGGACAGUACCUAAGGAGGAAGCUCCGGCUAACUACGUGCAAGCAGCCGCGGUAAUCUGGAGCGGGCUGGCAAGGC
rnacentral:rRNA from 1 species